rnacentral:rRNA from 1 species
AACGCUGGCGGCAUGCUUUACACAUGCAAGUCGAACGGCAGCGGGUCCUUCGGGAUGCCGGCGAGUGGUGAACGGGUGAGUAAUGCAUCGGAACGUACCUGGUCGUGGGGGAUAACACAGCGAAAGUUGUGCUAAUACCGCAUGAGACCUGAGGGUGAAAGCGGGGGCUCGCAAGACCUCGCGCGACUGGAGCGGCCGAUGUCAGAUUAGCUAGUUGGUAGGGUAAAGGCCUACCAAGGCGACGAUCUGUAGCGGGUCUGAGAGGAUGAUCCGCCACACUGGGACUGAGACACGGCCCAGACUCCUACGGGAGGCAGCAGUGGGGAAUUUUGGACAAUGGGCGCAAGCCUGAUCCAGCCAUGCCGCGUGAGUGAAGAAGGCCUUCGGGUUGUAAAGCUCUUUCAGCCGGGAAGAAAUCGCACGGGCCAAUACCCUGUGCGGAUGACGGUACCGGAACAAGAAGCACCGGCUAACUACGUGCCAGCAGCCGCGGUAAUACAUAGGGUGCGAGCGUUAAUCGGAAUUACUGCGCGUAAAGCGUGCGCAAGCGGAUGCUUAAGUCAGAUGUGAAAUCCCCGAGCUUAACUUGGGAAUUGCAUUUGAAACUGGG